UACAGGGGGUGCAAACGUUGCUCGGAAUCAUUGGGCGUAAAGCGCACGUAGGCGGUUCGUUAUGUCGGAUGUGAAAGCCCUUGGCUUAACCGAGGAAAGUGCAUCCGAAACUGGCGAGCUAGAGUACGAAAGAGGAUCGCGGAAUUCCCGGUGUAGAGGUGAAAUUCGUAGAUAUCGGGAGGAACACCGGUGGCGAAGGCGGCGAGUCUGGGUCGAUACUGACGCUGAGGUGCGAAAGCGUGGGGAGCAAACGGG
rnacentral:rRNA from 1 species